CCCGGGCCGCUCCCGCCGCCGGAGGUGGCCCGGCCCCGCCCCCUGUCACUCCUGGACCCCGAUUGGGCGGGCGGCCACGGGUGCUCUGCCUCUUCCGUCAGCUUGAUGACGUCACUUCCUCCUGCUUCUGAUUGGCAGCCGGCACCAUGCGCCGCGCACGCUACCUGGGGGAGGGUGUUGGCUGGCCUUGACCUGGUCGGGACUCGCUUCUCCCGGAAAUGACGCAACCACAGGAAAGGGCCGCGGCGGGGGGCGGGGGCGGGUCCCCGCGGUGAAGGAGAGCCUGGUCUCGGGAGCCCGUGUCCGUAUGUUUGUGAUCUUGCGCUGCCUUCUCCAAGCUGCUGCCAUUGUGGGAACGGGCAAGGGCACAGCUCUGCAGGUUCCUGGGCUGCCCUGGAGGGGGCUGCACAGAAGACACAGUGGUGACUGCCAGGCUCACCCCAGAGUCCCAGUGUCAUGAGCUUAAGCCCGAAGGCACAGAGAAGGUGUGUCCUCUUGUGGAAAGUGUGGUGUUACACUCCGAACAAUCUCUACGUCCACUGGGUUUUAAUGUCUUACCCAGUGGUUCCUGCCCUCCUUGACCUCAGACGGAGACUUCACCGUAUUUAAAGGUGGUGAAACACAGACGAAGAUCUGAGACCUGCCUCUAGCUGGGGAGCAUCUGGAACAGGAGCCUGGGCUGAUACCGUGCCACCUGCGUGAGGCCAUUGCCCAGAGAGCUACCUGUGCAGGGCCCGUGAACUGGAGGGCAGGUGACAAAGAAAGCAGAAAAGUGCCACUGGAAGGAAGUGGCACAUUUGCCAAGAAUGUGGAAAGAGCUUUGCUCAGAGUUCAGACCCGACUAAGCACAGGAGAAUCCACACUGGGGGGGAAGCCCUAUGCGUGUGAAGAAUGUGGCAGCGUCUUCAUCACAGCUCAGACCUUAUCAAGCACCAAAGAACUCACACUGGGAGAAGCCCUGUAAGUGUGAUGACUGUGGGAAGACCUCUAGCCAGAGCUGCAGCCUCCUUGAACAUCACAGACUCCACACCGGCCAAAGCCCUACCGGUGCAGCGUAUGCGGCAAAGCCUUUAGGCGGCAUUCACAUCUCCUGAGACAGCAGAGGGUCCAUAGCCUUAAAAACGGUAAAAACGUUCAGGGUCCUGAGCAUGGAGAGACUUGGGAGAGUCAUGGGAAGAUGGAGAGCCAGGAGGGGGAUGCUCGGCUCCCGUGUCUGUACCUGUGAUGAGUGUGAGAGAAGUUUCACCAGGAGCAGAAACCUCACUGAGCACCAGAAGAGCCACACUGGGGAGAAGCCCCAUGAGCGUGAGGCAUGUGGCAAAGGCUUCGCCCGACUUCAUACCUUGUUCAACUUCAGAGAAGCCACGUUGUGAAAAGCAUUCUGUCCUGGUGCCAAAGUCGUGCUCCUUCCUCGUUGAAUAGAAGCACCCGGGAACCCUUCCUGGUCACAGAAAUGGUGGGCCGCGGCUUCAUUCCCCACACGCCGUCAGGUGGGGCCAGCUCUGCCACAUUCUAGAAGGUGGCUGGGAAAAAGCUGUGAAAGGAGUGUCUGGAUUGUUGUCUGGAAGAGAAAUAUGCUUUUGCUGUUGCACCUCAUCAUCUUCCUCACUUGGUUUCUGGCACCAGCGGUCACUUCCCUAUUUACAACAUCACUCCGAGACUCUAGAAGUCGCACACAGCAAGGUCUUCUGGCCACCUUUCACAGUCAGUGUUUGGCCAUUGCGAUACAUUCUUUCCUGUGCAGCCGACAGCCUUCACAGGUGUUUUUCUCUCAGUUUCCAAGGCUUUUCACGUCAAGUUUUUCAGGGACCUGGAGCACGCAAGUGUAGCACACCCUAGUUUAAAUUCUUUGUCUUGGAGCAAUAAACCAUAUGGUUAUUUAAAGUGUUUGAG